UACGAAGGGUGCAAGCGUUAACCGGAAUUACUGGGCGUAAAGCGUGCGCAGGCGGUUUUGUAAGUCAGAUGUGAAAUCCCCGGGCUCAACCUGGGAACUGCGUUUGAAACUACAAGGCUAGAGUGUAGCAGAGGGGGGUGGAAUUCCACGUGUAGCAGUGAAAUGCGUAGAGAUGUGGAGGAACACCGAUGGCGAAGGCAGCCCCCUGGGUUAACACUGACGCUCAGGCACGAAAGCGUGGGGAGCAAACAGG
rnacentral:rRNA from 1 species